rnacentral:rRNA from 1 species
CAGUCGCCGCGGUAAUACGUAGGGUGCAAGCGUUAAUCGGAAUUACUGGGCGUAAAGCGUGCGCAGGCGGUUAUAUAAGACAGAUGUGAAAUCCCCGGGCUCAACCUGGGAACUGCAUUUGUGACUGUAUAGCUAGAGUACGGCAGAGGGGGAUGGAAUUCCGCGUGUAGCAGUGAAAUGCGUAGAUAUGCGGAGGAACACCGAUGGCGAAGGCAAUCCCCUGGGCCUGUACUGACGCUCAUUCACGAAAGCGUGGGGAGCAAACAGGAUUAGAUACUCGUGUAGUCCCUGUCUCUUAUAC